rnacentral:tRNA from 1 species
UCCCCGGUGGCUCAGAGGUAAAGAAUCUGCCUGCCAAUGCAGGAGACAUGGGUUCCAUUCCCAGUCAGGGAG